CGAGGAUCGCGCCGCCAUCAAGCACGGAAGGUGGCCGACGAUCUCCGCCCCAGCCUCCUCCCCACGCCGUCGAUGGAAGGUGGCCUCGGAUCCGCCCCAUCACACCCUCCUCCUUCUCUCCUCGCGAUGACGGGGAUCCGAGGCAGCCAUCGCGCCGCCAUCAAUCACAGAUAGCAGGAAGGUGGCCGAGGAUCUCCGCCACACCCUCCUCAUCGGUGCCGCUGUUCUGUUCCUCAGUCCGCCCCCAUUUACCUCGCUUGACCUCGCAUGGAUUCCUGCUUGCUUCUCCCCAACUCCACGCGUCG
rnacentral:misc_RNA from 1 species